rnacentral:rRNA from 1 species
UACGGAGGGGGCUAGCGUUGUUCGGAAUUACUGGGCGUAAAGCGCGCGUAGGCGGACCUGCAAGUCGGGGGUGAAAGCCCGAGGCUCAACCUCGGAACUGCCUUCGAUACUGCGGGUCUCGAGUCCGGGAGAGGUGAGUGGAAUUCCGUAGUGUAGAGGUGAAAUUCGUAGAUAUUAGGAAGAACACCAGUGGCGAAGGGCGCUGCACCAU